AUGUUGCAUCAUAGAAAAAAAUGCAAAGCAGAAUGGAGUCACGCUGGUAGUCACGGCGUGACCACUAGCGUGAGCCUUGAUUUUCACUCCAAAAUGCAUAUUUC